rnacentral:rRNA from 1 species
UACGUAGGUGGCAAGCGUUGUCCGGAAUUAUUGGGCGUAAAGCGCGCGCAGGCGAUCCUUUAAGUCUGAUGUGAAAUCCCACGGCUCAACCGUGGAAGGUCAUUGGAAACUGGGGGACUUGAGUACAGAAGAGGAAAGCGGAAUUCCAAGUGUAGCGGUGAAAUGCGUAGAUAUCGGGAGGAACACCAGUGGCGAAGGCGGCUUCCUGGCCUGUUCUUGACGCUGAGGCGCGAAAGCUAGGGGAGCAAACGGG